UAGAGUUUGAUCCUGGCUCAGAACGAACGCUGGCGGCAGGCCUAACACAUGCAAGUCGAGCGCGCCUUCGGGUGAGCGGCGGACGGGUUAGUAACGCGUGGGAACGUGCCCUUUUCUACGGAAUAGCCUCUGGAAACGGAGAGUAAUACCGUAUACGCCCUUUGGGGGAAAGAUUUAUCGGAGAAGGAUCGGCCCGCGUUAGAUUAGGUAGUUGGUGGGGUAAUGGCCUACCAAGCCUACGAUCUAUAGCUGGUUUUAGAGGAUGAUCAGCAACACUGGGACUGAGACACGGCCCAGACUCCUACGGGAGGCAGCAGUGGGGAAUCUUAGACAAUGGGGGCAACCCUGAUCUAGCCAUGCCGCGUGAGUGAUGAAGGCCUUAGGGUCGUAAAGCUCUUUCGCCUGUGAUGAUAAUGACAGUAGCAGGUAAAGAAACCCCGGCUAACUCCGUGCCAGCAGCCGCGGUAAUACGGAGGGGGUUAGCGUUGUUCGGAAUUACUGGGCGUAAAGCGCGCGUAGGCGGAUUAGAAAGUUGGGGGUGAAAUCCCGGGGCUCAACCUCGGAACUGCCUCCAAAACUGCUAGUCUAGAGUUCGAGAGAGGUGAGUGGAAUUCCGAGUGUAGAGGUGAAAUUCGUAGAUAUUCGGAGGAACACCAGUGGCGAAGGCGGCUCACUGGCUCGAUACUGACGCUGA
rnacentral:rRNA from 1 species